rnacentral:rRNA from 1 species
GGUGAACGCUAGCGGCAGGCUUAACACAUGCAAGUCGAGGGGCAGCGCGGGAUAGCAAUAUCCUGGCGGCGACCGGCGGAAGGGUGCGUAACGCGUGAGCGACAUGCCCGUUGCCCGGGGACAACCGGUGGAAACGCCGACUAAUCCCCGAUGGGAUACGAUGCUUCAUGGCAUUGUAUUGAAAGUUACGGCGGCGACGGAUUGGCUCGCGUCCGAUUAGCUGGUUGGCGGGGUAACGGCCCACCAAGGCUGCGAUCGGUAGGGGUUCUGAGAGGAAGGCCCCCCACAAUGGGACUGAGACACGGCCCAUACUCCUACGGGAGGCAGCAGUGAGGAAUAUUGGUCAAUGGGCGGAAGCCUGAACCAGCCAUGCCGCGUGCGGGAAGGAGGCCCUAUGGGCUGUGAACCGCUUUUGCCUGGGGGCAAUAAGGGCGUCGCGCACGUCCGAUGAGAGUACCAGGCGAAUAAGCAUCGGCUAACUCCGUG